rfam:Triticum aestivum genome assembly, contig: Triticum_aestivum_CS42_TGACv1_scaffold_394282_5AS
UAGGUGCUCCCUCCGUCCCAAAUUACUUGUCACAUAAAUGAAUGUAUUUAAAUGUAUAUUUAAUUCUAGAUACAUCCAUUUGCAUGACAAGUGAUUCAGGGCGGAGGGAGUACCAU